rnacentral:rRNA from 1 species
CCUACGGGUGGCAGCAGUAGGGAAUAUUGCUCAAUGGGGGAAACCCUGAAGCAGCAACGCCGCGUGGAGGAUGAAGGUUUUAGGAUUGUAAACUCCUUUUGUCAGAGAAGAUAACGACGGUAUCCCACGAAUAAGCACCGGCUAACUCCGUGCCAGCAGCCGCGGUAAUACGGAGGGUGCAAGCGUUACUCGGAAUCACUGGGCGUAAAGAGUGCGUAGGCGGGAUUGUAAGUCAGAUGUGAAAGCCUGUGGCUUAACUAGAGAACUGCAUUUGAAACUGUUAUUCUAGAGUAUGGGAGAGGUAGGUGGAAUUCUUGGUGUAGGGGUAAAAUGCGUAGAGAUCAAGAGGAAUACUCAUUGCGAAGGCGACCUGCUGGAACAUAACUGACGCUGAUGCACGAAAGCGUGGGGAGCAAACAGGAUUAGAUACCCGAGUAGUC